AGUGAACGCUGGCGGCGUGCUUAACACAUGCAAGUCGAGCGAGGUACUAACGGUAGCAAUACUGGAUAGGCCUAGCGGCAAACGGGUGAAUAACACGUAGGCAAUCUGCCUCUUAGAGGGGGAUAGCCCGCCGAAAGGCGGGAUAAUACCGCGUAAGAUUGUGACUCGGCAUCGAGUUACAAUGAAACAUCCGCAAGGAUGGCUAAGAGAGGAGCCUGCGGCCUAUCAGCUAGUUGGUGAGGUAACGGCUCACCAAGGCAACGACGGGUAGGCCGGUCUGAAAGGACGGUCGGCCACACUGACACUGAGACACGGGUCAGACACCUACGGGUGGCAGCAGUGAGGAAUUUUGGACAAUGGGGGAAACCCUGAUCCAGCGACGCCGCGUGGAGGACGAAGGUCUUCGGAUUGUAAACUCCUUUUGUUCGGGACUAAGAAACCGGUAGAAAUAUCGGGAGCGAAUGUACCGGAUGAAUAAGCCACGGCUAACUCGUGCCAGCAGCCGCGGUAA
rnacentral:rRNA from 1 species